GACAGAGGGUGCAACCGUUGCUCGGAAUCACUGGGCGUAAAGGGCGUGUAGGCGGGCAGGAAAGUCAGAUGUGAAAUCCCUGGGCUCAACCCAGGAACUGCAUUUGAAACUCCCUUUCUUGAGUGUCGGAGAGGAAAGCGGAAUUCCUGGUGUAGAGGUGAAAUUCGUAGAUAUCGGGAGGAACAUCUGUGGCGAAGGCGACUGCCUGGACCAGCACUGACACUGAGGCACGAAAGCGUGGGGAGCAAACAGG
rnacentral:rRNA from 1 species